AAGUCGUAACAAGGUUUCCGUAGGGGAACCUGCGGAAGGAUCAUUAAAGAGAGAAAAAAUAAACCAAGAGCAAGAGGAGACAAAAGGAGUAAAUAUAGGAAGAAUAUAAGAGAGAACAACUUUUAGCAACGGAUCUCUAGGUUCUC
rnacentral:misc_RNA from 1 species